GUCCUCGUAGUAUAAGUUAUUGCUCUGGUCUUGUAAACCAGAAAUGGAGAAUACCUGCUCCCAAGGGCA
rnacentral:tRNA from 1 species